GUGGGGAAUAUUGCACAAUGGGGGAAACCCUGAUGCAGCAACGCCGCGUGAGUGAAGAAGUAUUUCGGUAUGUAAAGCUCUAUCAGCAGGGAAGAAAAUGACGGUACCUGACUAAGAAGCCCCGGCUAACUACGUGCCAGCAGCCGCGGUAAUACGUAGGGGGCAAGCGUUAUCCGGAUUUACUGGGUGUAAAGGGAGCGUAGGCGGUUUGGCAAGUCAGAAGUGAAAGCCCAAGGCUUAACCAUGGGACUGCUUUUGAAACUGUCAGACUGGAUUGCAGGAGAGGUAAGUGGAAUUCCUGGUGUAGCGGUGAAAUGCGUAGAUAUCAGGAGGAACACCGGUGGCGAAGGCGGCUUACUGGACUGUAAAUGACGCUGAGGCUCGAAAGCGUGGGGAGCAAACAGGAUUAGAAACCCUAGUAGUCC
rnacentral:rRNA from 1 species